rnacentral:rRNA from 1 species
GCUAAUACCGGAUAACAACAGAUGAUGCCUAUCAACUGUUUAAAAGAAUGGUUCUGCUAUCACUCUUGGAUGGACCUGCGGUGCAUUAGCUAGUUGGUAGGGUAACGGCCUACCAAGGCGAUGAUGCAUAGCCGAGUUGAGAGACUGAUCGGCCACAUUGGGACUGAGACACGGCCCAAACUCCUACGGGAGGCAGCAGUC